AAAUUUGUAGUUUGUAGUGAGA
ensembl:miRNA mir-2218.2 ncRNA